AAAGAGCAGGAAGACAGAUGCACGGCUCUCAGUGGACAGGAAAUGAAAGCCUGAAACCAAGUUAGUGGGCAUGAGAAGAGUUUACUAAGGCAAGAGUAAUCCGGUGGGGCAGGGAAGCUGGGAGAGCAGCAAGUGAGCCACUUUUCCUGAUGCACUUAAAUGCAGUAAGCCUGAAGCUGGAAACUGUCAAGGUGCCCAUCAACUGACAACGGACAAUGAAAAUGUGAUACACUGACAUAAUGGGAUGACAUCGACUAUUAAGAGAAAUGAAAUUCCCAGGAUUGGAGUCUCUGAAGUUGAAUGCUAUCCUCCAAAAGCUGGUGUGUGUUGGACCCAAUACCCACGAGGUCGUAUGAGUUCUGUUUUCUUUUCUUUUUUUUAGCUUUUCGAGAGACAGGGUUUCUCUG